rnacentral:tRNA from 1 species
GGGGCAUUAGCUCAGCUGGGAGAGCGCUACACUGGCAGUGUCGAGGUCAGCGGUUCGAGCCCGCUAUGCUCCA